AGCAUAUCAAUAAGCGGAGGAAAAGAAACCAACAGGGAUUGCCUUAGUAACUGCGAGUGAAGCGGCAAAAGCUCAAAUUUGAAAUCUGGCGUCUUCGACGUCCGAAUUGUAAUUUGGAGAGACAUCUUCGGAGUAGACGCCGUCCUAAGUUCCUUGGAACAGGACGUCACAGAGGGUGAGAAUCCCGUGCCUGGAUGGCUGUUCUACUUCAUGUGAAGUGUCUUCGACGAGUCGAGUUGUUUGGGAAUGCAGCUCAAAAUGGGAGGUAAAUUUCUUCUAAAGCUAAAUAUUGGCGAGAGACCGAUAGCGCACAAGUAGAGUGAUCGAAAGAUGAAAAGCACUUUGAAAAGAGAGUUAAAAAGUACGUGAAAUUGUUGAAAGGGAAGCGCUUGAGACCAGACUCGAUCAGUGGUGAUCAGCGGUGCUUCUGUACCGUGCACUUGCCAUUGAUUGGGCCAGCAUCGGUUUAGACGGCGGGAUAAAGACCUAAGGAAUGUGGCUCCUCUCGGGGAGUGUUAUAGCCUUGGGUGCAAUGCCGCCAGUUUGGACCGAGGACCGCGCUUCGGCUAGGAUGCUGGCGUAAUGGUCUUCAGCGACCCGUCUUGAAACACGGACCAAGGAGUCUAACAUCUAUGCGAGUGUUCGGGUGGAAAACCCUUGCGCGUAAUGAAAGUGAACGGAGGUGAGAACACUUCGGUGUGCAUCAUCGACCGAUCCAGAUGUCUUCGGAUGGAUUUGAGUAUGAGCAUAGCUGUUGGGACCCGAAAGAUGGUGAACUAUGCCUGAAUAGGGUGAAGCCAGAGGAAACUCUGGUGGAGGCUCGCAGCGGUUCUGACGUGCAAAUCGAUCGUCAAAUUUGGGUAUAGGGGCGAAAGACUAAUCGAACCAUCUAGUAGCUGGUUCCUGCCGAAGUUUCCCUCAGG
rnacentral:rRNA from 1 species